ACUCAUGUUCUCCUCAGGUUUUCUUCAUGUUUUCCUCAGGUUCUCCUCAGGUUUUUACUCAUGUUCUCCUCAGGUUUUCUUCAUGUUCUCCUCAGGUUUUCUUCUUGUUCUCCAAUCUAGUCAACAACAAUUAGAAUAGAGUUGUGUCAGGAUGUCACAAUAUUGUACGACACAAUAAAGAAUAUAAAAAACAAGUGCACAUAUAAAUACUAUGUUCAUACAGUGAUAAUCUAUAUUUAUAAAGCCCUUCUUAGUAUUGAAGUUUUGCCACUACCAUUCACCCAUUCAUUCACACAGCACAUUUUUUAUCUCAGCCAUCACAGACUAGGUGUUGGCAUGAACCGGGAAUAAAACCCACAAUCUUCCAGUUGAAAGACAACCCGCUGUACCACUAAUCCACCGUCAUGUAGGUAAAUACUUUCAGAGUUCAGAGUGUUUUUUUCCUUCUUUGUCUGAUUUUGUUUGUUUGUAAAUUCAAUCUGAAACAAUGUACAACCUCUGUCUAAUUGUACAUAUAUAUACUGUAUAUAUACAUAUAUGUACUGUAUAUAUACACAUAUAUAUAUAUAUAUACACAGUAUAUGUAUGAAGGUAAGUGGCCUCAUUUUUCCUUCCUGUUUAUGACAAUGUGUGUAUGUGUAAGACAAUAAAUCAAAUUUCCUGGUAAAAGUG